rnacentral:lncRNA from 1 species
UAUCCUGAGUCAACCCAUUUGGCUUAAUAUCAACAUUAAAAGAUGUGGAAAGCCAUUUAUUUUUGAAAAUUAUUGUAGUGAUGGUAUAUUUUUUAUAAAUGAUCUAAUCUCAGAUGGGAAAAACAUACUGACAUUUGAGCAGCUUAAAACUCAGUAUGCAGUUAAAACCAAUUUUGUUGAAUAUUAUGGUCUUGUUAGUGC